GGGCAUUUAGUUUAGUGGUAUAAUAUUCGCUUCGCAGCCCUAACGGAAGCAGUGUAUGCGAAAGGUCGUGGGUUCAAUUCCCACAAUGUCCA